rfam:Homo sapiens chromosome 3, GRCh38 reference primary assembly.
GCCAGGCGUGGUAGUGUGUGCCUGUAGUACUAGCUACUUAGGAGGCUGAGGCAGGAGGAUCACUUGAACCCAGGAGUUUGAAAUUGCAGUGAGCUAUGAUUAUGCCACUGCAUUCCAGCCUGGGUGACAGAGUGAGACCCUGUCUCAA